rnacentral:lncRNA from 1 species
CUACUACUGUGCUACAAGUGGAGCCAUAUAGGGGAAACGAGCAGCCAUCUCAGGAGCAAGGUGUAUGCUGCCUUUGGGGGCUCCAGUCCUUGCCUCAAGGGUCUUAUGUCACUGUGGGCUUCUUGGUUGCCAAGAGGCAGACCAUAGGCCGUCUUGAGAAGGACUUUAUGUUCAAGUGCAGAAAGCAGCCAGGAUUACCACCCUCGGGACUCUGCCUUCUGUGGCCCUGGCCAAACUUAGAAUUUGGCCGUAGACAGGACAAGCUCACUUGGAGUAGCGUGUCUGUAGCUGGGGUCUGUGCAUGCCAGGCAAGGCCAAGCUGGCUCAAAGAGCAACCAGCCACCUCUGCAAGGGUGCACCUAGAGCAGGUGGAGCAGCCACCAGCUCACCCACUCCAGGAAGCCGGGGUAGCCAGGUUCCCAAAGCCUGAGUGGGUGCCACCUAAUGGCUGAAGAAACAGAGGCCUUAGGAAAACCAGAUGGCACUGUGGCCCUACCUUUAUGGUAGAAGAGCUGAUUUAGCCUGACUGGCAGCGUGUGAGGUUGAUGGCUGGUCUGCCUGCUGCUGGCACAUCCGUGCAAAGAUAGCUGGUUGCCCUUUGAGCCAGCUUGCCCUUGCCCAGCAUGCACAAGCCUCAGUGCAACAACUGUGCUGCAAAUGGGGCCAUAUAGAGGAAAGGAGCAGCUGGCUCUGGAACAUGGUGUGCACUCCCUUUGGGCCUUCAGUCCAUGUCUCAUGGGUCGUAUGACACUGCGGGCUUGUUGGUUGCCAAGAGGCAGACCACAGGUCAUCUUGAGGAGGACUUUAUGUUCCAGUCCAGAAAGCAGCCAGUGGUACCACCCAGGGGACUUGUGCUUCUGUGGCCCAGGCCAGACGUAGAAUUUGACAAAGUCAGGACGGUCUCAGUCAGAGCAGCAUGUCGGUCCCCGGGGCCUGUGCAUGCCAGGCAAGGCCAAGCUGGCUUAAAGAGCAAGCAGCCACCUCUGUUAAGGGUGUGCCUGGAGCAGGUGGAGCAGCCACCAACCUCACCCACUGAAAGAAGCAGGGAUGGCCAGGUUCCAACAUCCUGGGUGGCUGCCAGCUGAUGGAGCAGAGGCCUGAGGAAAAGCAGAUGGCACUGCUUUGUGGUGCUCUUCUUUGUCUCUCUUGAUCUUUUUCAGUUAAUGUCUGUUUUAUCAGAGACUAGGAUUGCAAACCCUGCUCUUUUUUGCUUUCCAUUUGCUUGGUAAAUAUUCCUCCAUCCCUUUAUUUUAAGCCUAUGUGUGUCUUUGCACAUGAGAUGGGUCUCCUGAAUACAGGACAACAAUGGGUCUUUACUCUUUAUCCAACUUGCCAGUCUGUGUCUUUUAACUGGGGCAUUUAGCCCAUUUACAUUUAAGUUUAGUAUUGCUACAGGUGAAAUUUAUCCUGUCAUGAUGUUGCUAGCUUUUUAUUUUUCCCAUUAGUUUGCAGUUUCUUUAUAGUGUCAAUGGUCUUUACAAUUCGAUAUGUUUUUGUAGUGGCUGGUACUGGUUUUUCCUUUCUACGUUUAGUGUCUCCUUCAGGAGCUCUUGUAACACAAGAAUGUGGAUUUAUUUCUUGUAAGGUAAAUAUGUGGAUUUAUUUCUUGGGACUGUAUUCUAUGGCCUUUACCCCAAGAAUCAUUACUUUUUAAAAUGCAAUUCAAAUUAGCAUAAAACAUUUACAGCCUAUGGAAAGGCUUGUGGCAUUAGAAUCCUUAUUUAUAGGAUUAUUUUGUGUUUUUUUGAGAUAUGGUCUUUGUCAUCGAGGCAGAAGUGCCGUGGUUUGAUCAUAAUUCACCACAGCCCUGAACUCUUGAGUGCAAGCCAUCCUUUUGCCUUAAUCUCCCAACCAGUUGGAUCUACAAGCAUAAGGCAUCAUGCGUGGCUAAUUUUUUCACGUUUUUUUUUUUUUUUUUUUUUUUUUGUCGAGAUUAUGGUAUCACUAUGUUGCUCUGGCUGAUCUCAAAUGUUUGACCUCAAGGGAUCUUUCUGCCACAGCCUCCUUAAGUGCUAGGAUUAUAUGCAUGAUACACCAUGCCUAUUGUAGAGUAUUACAUUAUUUUCAAAGUCUUAUUGUAAGAGCCAUUUAUUGCCUUUGGCCUAAAUAACUCAAUAUAAUAUCUCUGAAACUUUUUUUUGACAAAUUUUGGGGCAUGAUGAUGAGAGAAGGGGGUUUGAAACUUUCUAAUAAGAGUUAACUUAGAGCCAUUUAAGAAAGGAAAAAACACAAAUUAUCAGAAAAACAAAAGUAAGAUCAAGUGCAAAAGUUCUGUGGCAAAGAUGAUGAGAGUAAAGAAUAUAUGUUUGUGACUCAUGGUGGCUUUUACUUUGUUCUUGCAUUUCUGAGUACGGGUUAACAUUUAAAGAAUCUACAUUAUAGAUAACAUUUUAUUGCAAGUAAAUGUAUUUCAAAAUUUGUUAUUGGUUUUGUAUGAGAUUAUUCUCAGCCUACUUCAUUAUCAAGCUAUAUUAUUUUAUUAAUGUAGUUCGAUGAUCUUACAGCAAAGCUGAAAGCUGUAUCUUCAAAAUAUGUCUAUUUGACUAAAAAGAAGUUAUUCAACAGGAGUUAUUAUCUAUGAAAAAAAUACAACAGGAAUAUAAAAAACUUGAAGAGGAUAAGAAGAUGUUGGAAAAAGUAAUAUUAAAUCUUAAAAAACAUAUGGAAAGUACACAUUGGUGAAGACACAUUGGUGAAGUACAAAAAUAUAAAUUGGAUCUAGAAGAAAGGGCAAUUCAGGCAAUAGAAAAAUUAGUAGAAAUCCCUUUAAAGGUUAGUUUGUAAAAUCAGGUAAGUUUAUUUAUAAUUUGCUUUCAUUUAUUUCACUGCAAAUUAUAUUUUGGAUAUAUAUAUAUAUUGUGCUUCCUCUGCCUGUCUUACAGCAAUUUGCCUUGCAGAGUUCUAGGAAAAAGGUGGCAUGUGUUUUUACUUUCAAAUAUUUAAAUUUCCAUCAUUCUAACAAAAUCAAUUUUUCAGAGUAAUGAUUCUCACUGUGGAGUCAUUUGAUUAUUAAGACCCGUUGGCAUAAGAUUACAUCCUCUGACUAUAAAAAUCCUGGAAGAAAACCUAGGAAAUAUUCGUCUGGACUUUGCACUUGGCAAUGAAUUUAUGGAUUUGAAGGCAAUUUUUUAAAGCUCUCCACAUGUGGUUUACUGUGGACCAAACACUGGCAGCUUCAGGCUUACAAUCUGCUGACAAACUCUUCUUAGUUCCUUCAAUUGAAGAAUGUGAGCAUGCACUGCUCAUGUGCCUGGCAAGCAGGCAAACCACUCAGGAGAAGGACAGUGGCCACUCAGGUCAUCAGGUGAACUUGUGACGGGGCCAUCAAGAGGCUGCACGUGAGCUCCAGAAAAUGAAAUUCCCACUAUCAACCUAUUUUCCAUUUCCGCCCAAUGCCCCGCCCCUGCUCCAAAUCAAGGUCUCCGCCUCUUAGAAAUGCUUGAUUUUCAGUAUUGCUAAACAGGGAUCGAAGAAAACAAACUGAACAAAGAAACAAAUAAAGCCUUUAACACAGUGAGCAAAGACACAGCACCUACGCCUUCCCCGGGCCCCGCAACAGCUCCAGAGCUGCACAGCUGCUCCCAGAGCCUGAGCAUGGACCUGAGCUCUGGCUCAUGGAUCUCACCAAUGCAUUUCUUCCCUCUGUGUCAAAAAAGCAUCCAGAAAUUGGAUUCAUUUACUUGGGACAUAAAAUAAUGUAUACCUACAGUUUUGUCCCAGAACUGUGUAAACCAGCAUGCUGUCUGCCAUAAUACAGUCCUCCCCCUGCAUCAGGAGCACAGAUGGGGGAAACCGGCGGGGCUGGAGGGGAGAGAAAAGCACCACAGAGAGCCAGGCCCUGCCUACAAAUCCCAUUUUUAGGGGUCUAGUGGUCUGUGCAGGCUGGGAGAUGAUCUCUAAAGGAAAGGCAAGAAAUAUUGCCCCACAUCUCCCACCACCAAACAGAAAGUGCAGGUGGUCAGCCCCAGGGCUCACCUGCCCUUUGCCAGGGUCAUGAGCUAGGCCCAGGCUGCGCACUCCACAAAACCAUCAAGGGGACGACUGCCUGCCAGGCUGGGACAACUGCACCAGGCCCUGACAUCCUGGGAAGAACAGGGUUGCAUUUAACAGAAACAACUAAACCUGCAGGGAUGAGCUUGCCUUUCCCCGGGGCCACGGGAUGGUUUAUAGAAAGUUCUGCCCAUCAGGACGAGACCUCACAUGACACCAUCAGAGGAACUGAUACCAUGCCACAGAGGGAGGAAGACGGCACAUGCCAUAGGUCCGCUGGUCACAGCACACACACGCUCCUGGGAACUUCAGAGCCAGCAGUGUGGCUCAGGUGCCAGGUCAGGAUGUGGGAGGACACAGUGUCUGGGUGAAUCUGUCACCUUUGCUAGCUGCCUGGUCCCACCAGGUAGAAGAUGUGGCAAUGGGAGCACAGCAGUAGGAAGCCCAGUGUCCCCCAACCUUCCACCUCACACCCAGGACCUCUGAGGUGCAUCUAUGUCCUGCACAUCUAGGCUCUGAAAAGCAGGAGGUCCUGGUUUCCACAGCUGUGGGGCUUCUAGACAGGACAGAGCCAGGUUCUCUAAAAAAAACAAGCUCUGGGUGCUGCUUUGUUCUCAGGCUGCUCCUCCAUGGGACCUGCGGGCAGAAAGAUGUGUACCACCUGGACCAUGGUGUCAGCAGGAGCAGGGCUGUGCUGCCUGGGGAAGAAGGGGCUCUACGCAAGCGCCUCUCAGUACACAGCAUUUGAUGGUACCUGGACAAGUGCGGGAGCCCUAGACCAAGGACUCAGUGGUGAGCAAGACUCAGGACCCCUUAGGGGCGAGGGCCUGGGUUACACCACCAGGGGGUCACCUGGACCCUCAGCAGAAGGUGAAGGGGUGAUCAUUACCUUUGCGACCCUGAAAUGGGUGGCAGCCACAGGACACAGGGUUCAUUGAACCCACCUUGUGUAACUAUUGCCCAGGAAAAGGCCCAGAAUUUAAUAAAGACAAGGCCCCUGGCAGUGCAGUGUUGGAUGGGGCGCACCCCCUGGGGCACCCCUGACCCUCCCCCAGGGCCUUGGCUCUGAGCUUUGAUUAUAGACACACGUAUGCCAUGGCCCCUUCAGACUGCUCCCUUCACCUUUGAAAAACCAGACAGGAUGCUUCUGUUCCUGGAAACACGAAUGCCCUUCAUGUGUUUUUUUCUUUGACUAGAAACUCAACUUCAACCAAAAUAUAGACUCCCACACAAUAAUAAUGGGAGUCUUUAACAUCCCACUGUGAACAUUAGGCAGAUCAAUGAGUCAGAAAGUUAACAAGGAUAUCCAGGAAUUGAACUCAGCUCUGCACCAAGCAGACCUAAUAGACAUCUACAGAACUCUCCACCAAAAUCAACAGAAUAUACAUUUUUUUCAGCACCACACCACACCUAUUCCAAAACUGACCACAUAGUUGGAAGUAAAGCACUCCUCAGCAAAUGUAAAAGAACAGAAAUUAUAACAAACUGUCUCUCAGACCACAGUGCACUCAAAUUAGAACUCAGGAUUAAGAAACUCACUCAAAACCGCUCAACUACAUGGAAACCGAACAACCUGCUCCUCAAUGACUACUGGGUACAUAACGAAACGAAGACAGAAAUAAAGAUGUUCUUUGAAACCAAUGAGAACAAAGACACAACAUACCAGAAUCUCUGGGACACAUUUAAAGCAGUGUGGAGAGGGAAAUUUAUAGCACUAGAUGCCCACAAGAGAAAGCAGGAAAGAUCUAAAAUUGACACCCUAACAUCACAAUUAAAAGAACUAGAGAAGCAAGAGCAAACACAUUCAAAAGCUAGCAGAAGGCAAGAAAUAAGUAAGAUCAGAGCAGAACUGAAGGAAAUAGAGACACAAAAAACCCUUCAAAAAAAUCAAUGAAUCCAGGAGCUGGUUUUUUGAAAAGGUCAACAAUAUUGAUAGACCGCUAGCAAGACUAAUAAAGAAGAAAAGAGAGAAGAAUCAAAUAGAUGCAAUAAAAAUAGAUAAAGGGGAUAUCACCACCGAUCCCACAGAAAUACCAGCUAUCAUCAGAGAAUACUAUAAGCACCUCUACGCAAAUAAACUAGAAAAUCUGGAAGAAAUGGAUAAAUUCCUUGACACAUACACCCUCCCAAGACUAAACCAGGAAGAAGCUGAAUCUCUGAAGAGACCGAUAACAGGCUCUGAAAUUGAGGCAAUAAUUAAUAGCCUCUCCCUGGGAAUGGGCGGGCCUGGGUCCAGUCCACAGGGCCCCUCGCGGGCCCUGACGCAGGAUGGAGUUGAGGUGGGGGCAGCGCUGGACCCCAGGGCCCCUGCCUGCCUCCUGGGGAGCCCGGUGACCCAGGCAGCCCUGGUGAGGCUGUGGGUGUCUGGGCCAUAGCGAGGCCCCCGGGCUCCCACAGGACAGAUGCGGACAGUGAGGCCGGGGAGGCCCUGCUGCCCUCCGGACUGUCCCUCCAGCCCCCAGCUUUCUGUGGUUCUCUGGACCCCCUCUGCAGAGGGGCAGGGGAGCACACCCUGGAUCCUGAGACGCCAAGCUUGAGGAACCCCAGAGCUCUAGCGAGGCUGCUUGCUUUGCGGAUGGUGGAACUGAGGUCCAGAGGAGGGCAGGGGCAGGUCCCGGGUGCUCCCUAGGCAAAGGGAGCCGAUCUCGGGGAGGGGGUCACAGGGAGCGUCCCUGCGACUUCUAGGGCCCGAAAGCUGGGGAGGAUGAGAGACCAGGGGUCUUUCGUCGCCCCCUGGGGCUGGGCAGAGGCUCAGCCUGUGUUGCCACCCAAAGCUGCUUCUGGCAAGUCCGAGCCGCGUCCCUUUAAGAGGGGGUGGAGCUUCAACCUGGCACGAGGGAUGCUGCCAGCGUGCGUGUCCCUACGGAAGCUGAGACUGCACUUCCUGCGAGGCCCCUGCAGCAGCAGCGGCGUGGUCAGAGCGAGCUUCGGAGAAGCAGUGGUGGGUUCCAUGUGAUGGUGGAGUAGGAGGCAGGUCUCCGCGGUCAUUUACCAUGCUGUCCUCCAGGUUCAACAGUAUGGCUCCAAAGGAUGAAAUUUCAUUCUGAUUUUCUGGCUGAAGACUAUUCUCUUUGUGUAUGUCCACCACAGUUACUUUAUCCCUUCAUCUGUGGAUGGGCAGUCUCGCUGUAUUGCCCAGGCUGGAGUGCAGUGGCAUGAUCUCAGCUCACUGCAAGCUCUGCUUCCUGGGUUCACGCCAUUCUCCUGCCUCAGCCUCCUGAGUAGCUGGGAUUACAGGCACCCGCCACCACGCCCAGGAAAGAAAAAAGAAGAAAACAAACCUCCAUACGAGAAUGGGUCUAAAGGAACUUCCCAAACCUCCAUGAUUUUGCAGGAAACAAGAUAAAGCUGGUUGGUGGAGAAUUUGAACUGGAGAUGAACUCUAUUAUCCAGGAUGCUGAGAGUAUAAUACGCAUGACAGAGCUUUUAGAGCACUGUGAUGUAACAUGUCAAGCAGAAAUAGGGAGCAUGUUUACAGCCAUUCUAUGAAAAAGUGUUUGGAAUGUACAGACUAGCACAGAAGUUGGGCUAAUUAAACAAGUAUUGCUGAAAAUGAGUGCUGUAGAUGACAUGAGAGCAGGUAUGGGGUUGAUUGUUAGGGAAGUAUAACUUAAAAGUUUAUAAAGUUUCACAUACUUCUCUUUAUAUUCUAUAGGUAAUGUAGAUUUGUUGACACUACUUUGAUUUAAAAUAAAUGGAAAUGUAUGGAAAUUUUACUUUUUAUAUUAAUGGAAAACCUGAAGAGUGAAAGAAGAAAAAUAUACUUACUAUAGUAGACAAAUAUAAUUACUAAUGUUGUUUUCUAAAUUUUAGAAAAUCUCAGUACCACGGAGUGCUAUGAAAUCUAUCAGAAAAAUAAACAGUAUCUUUUUAUGUAGUAUUUCAUUAAGCUUUUACAUAAUUAAAAUGCCACAAUAGGUAUUACA